UACGCGAGACCCGAACGUUAUUCGGAAUUACUGGGCUUACAGAGUUCGUAGGCGGCUCAGAAAGUUGGGUGUGAAAUCCCUCGGCUCAACCGAGGAAUUGCGCUCAAAACUACUGAGCUUGAGGGGUAUAGAGGUAAGCGGAACUGAUGGUGGAGCGGUGAAAUGCGUUGAUAUCAUCAGGAACACCGGUGGCGAAGGCGGCUUACUGGGUACCUCCUGACGCUGAGACGCGAAAGCGUGGGGAGCAAACAGG
rnacentral:rRNA from 1 species